rnacentral:rRNA from 1 species
UCGGGAAUUUUGGGCAAUGGGCGAAAGCCUGACCCAGCAACGCCGCGUGAACGAUGAAGGCCUUAGGGUUGUAAAGUUCUUUUGUCGGGGAAGAUAAUGACGGUACCUGAAGAAUAAGCACCGGCUAACUUCGUGCCAGCAGCCGCGGUAAUACGAAGGGUGCUAGCGUUGUUCGGAAUCACUGGGCGUAAAGCGCGCGUAGGCGGCGAUAUAAGUCAGAGGUGAAAGCCUGGAGCUCAACUCCAGAACUGCCUUUGAAACUAUAUUGCUAGAGUGUCGGAGGGGAUAGCGGGAUUGCUAAUGUAGAGGUGAAAUUCGUAGAUAUUAGCAGGAACACCGGUGGCGAAGGCGGCUAUCUGGACGACAACUGACGCUGAGGCGCGAAAGCGUGGGGAUCAAACAGGAUUAGAUACCCCGGUAGUCCCUGAGCGGGCUGGCAAGGCGCAU